GACACGGCGGAGUGGCAGUGAGGGCUUCAGGUGAGAUCCUCUCUAUUCUCCUUCAUCCCUCCCUCAAAAUCCUUGAUCUAUUCCAUGAUCUGAUUGUCCCUCCAAUCUCCUUCCUCAUCUCCAUCGUAUCUCGAUCACAUUCCGAUUGGGUUCCCCCUGAUGCAUCGAUCUCACAGUGUGCUUCCGUCAAAGUUUUGCCCUAAAAGCCUUCCCCACUUCCGCCACGGCCACUUCAUCCAGGGAAUCACAUAGGAAAGAGUCAAUUAUUAUACUGUAUCAAUCAAGUUUAUUGGGGAUAAAUAGAGAAAGGUUGAAUUGUCUGCAAAUCAAAUUUCUGUGUCACUCAUAGGAUCAAAAUUUAUAAUAUACAAGUUGCGAUUGAUUGAGCCAAAAGUGAAAUGAAGAGGGAACGACGACAGCAGCAGUAGAGAGGCUUCGAUCGCAUGCAGGUUGCGGAGUUAGGCCUGGAUUCUGUGGACACACUAAUAUUUACGUCUAGGCAAUAUACUGAUACUGAUUUUUGUUGUCCUCCAGAUAUUCCCGCUCGAUGAGGGACUCAACCCUCUUCUUGAUCACGGCAGGAUCGGGCAGGACGCGCGGCUGCAGCUGCUUGGCGACCUCUGUGACGAGGCUAUUGAGAUUCAACACCCGCUGGGCUUUCAUGACCCUGAUAAUGGCAGCAUCGAUUUGAUCUUUCCUGGCUUCCUCCACUUUUUGGCGAAUCUCCUGCUGCUCCGACUCCGACUCCUCCUCUGCUGCCGCCGUAUCUAUCUUAACUUGGAACAAGUUGCUUGUGAAAUUGUCAUUGACGCAGAAAACAUCAUCCUCUGCGAUAACAUUGUUCGUCGGAUUCUUACAGAGCACAUUCAUGUCCGGAACACAAGCAAGAGACCAAAGGCACCGCUUGAGAUCCGGCAACGGCAUCGCAGUUGCUUGUUGGAUGUCCUUGCAGCUCAA
rnacentral:lncRNA from 1 species